GCCUCUUCAGCUGUGGGCUUGCCAUUAUGUAAUUUAUGAAACAGAGAAGUACAAAAUGGUCUUGAUUCCUGGGCUGUAACAGCAGCUGAGUGAGGGAGAAGGGAAGAGAAAGAAUGAAGAGUCAGACUACUUGGAACAUUGACAACAGGACACAUGUAAUAGUAUGUAAAAAGUGAUUUCAUAGUUGCUAAAGUGUCAUAUUUGGCUGUGUCAUGGCCUGAAGAAUGGCUUACCUGAAGUACCACAUCCCUGCAUUUGUCCACUCCCUCCCAGACACAGAGACAAAUAAGAUAAACGCCUCACCUGUCCUGCUGCUGAAGUCCAUGCAUCUUCUCAGCCACUUUAUCAGGCA